GGACUACUGGGGUAUCUAAUCCCGUUUGCUCCCCUAGCUUUCGAGCUUCAGCGUCAGUAGCAGGCCAGGUGGGCGCCUUCGCCACCGGUGUUCCUCCAGAUAUCUACGCAUUUCACCGCUACACCUGGAAUUCCCCCACCCUCUCCUGUACUCAAGCUCAGCAGUUUGGGAUGCAGGUCCCGGGGUGAGCCCGGGAAUUUCACAUCCCACUUACCAAACCGCCUAGACUCCCUUUACGCCCAGUGAUUCCGAACAACGCUUGCUCCCCCCGUAUUACCGCGGCGGCUGGCAC
rnacentral:rRNA from 1 species